rnacentral:lncRNA from 10 species
UCAUAACAUGAAAUUUCAGAACACCUGAGAUAAAGAUCCUAAAGCUGCCAGAGAGGAAAAUUACAGGUCACAAAUAAAAGCUCUGCAGUCAGGAUAGCACAGGAUUUCAACAGCAGAGAUGAAAUCUAGAACAACAAUGAAUUAAUGCAUUUAAAACUGCUUACCUACAAUUCCACGAUCAAACUAUCAAAGGAGUGAAAGAGUAAAAUAAACCCAUUUCACUCAGGCAAAGGUCUUGAAAAGUUUAUAUCCCAAUGACCUUCCCUGGGAUGCUGAAAGAUAUACUCCACCCAACAGGAAAGUAAACCAAAAAGCAGCAGCUAUGGGAUCCAGGAGACAGGAGAGGAAGAAAUGACCAGGGUGAAGGUAAAGAGAAAUCCCAGGGCAGAAGCUAUGCCUGAGGUCUAGAGAAUAACCAACGUGCAGUGGCUCACGCCUGUAAUCCCAGCACUUUGGGAGGCCAAGGCGGGCAGAUCACUUGAGGUCAGGAUUUCGAGAUCAGCCUGGCCAACAUGGUGAAACCCACUCUCUACCAAAAAUUUAAAAAUUAGCUGGGUGUGGUGGUGCAUGCCUGUAAUCCUAGCUACUCAGGAGGCUGAGGUGGGAGGAUCGCUUGAACUCAGGAGGCGGAGGCUGCAGUGAGCCAAGAUCACACCACUGCACUCAAGCCUGGGCAACAGAGUGAGACCUUGUCUUCAAAAAAAAAAAAAAAAAAAAAAAAAAAGAAUAACCAAAGUGCCUGUUCUGGGCUGAGUUGUGUCACUCCAAAAGUCAUGUUAAAGUUCUAACCACAGUAUCUCAGUAUGUGACUGUAUUUGGAAAUGGGCCUUUAAACAGGUAAAUAAGUAAAAGUGAAGUCACUAGAGUGGGCCCCAAUCCAAUAUGACCAGCGUCCUUUUUCUUUUUCUUUUCUUUUAAAUUGAGGUCCCAUUCCAAUUAGCAUCUUUUUAAGGUAAGGAAAUUUAGACACAGAGAGACACAAAGGGAAGACCAUGUGAAGACACAGGAAGACGGCCAUUUACAAGACAAGAAGAGAGGCCUCUGAAGAAACCAACCCUGCUGACACCUUGCUCUUUCCAUCUCCAGAAUUGUGAGAAAAUUAAUUUCUCUUAUUUAAGCCACCCAGUCUGUGGUACUUUGCUAUGGCAGCCCUAGUAAACGAAUAUAGCACUGAACCCAGAACAAGGGAACCAGGAAAGAUUAAGAAAAAAAAAAAGAAUUUGAUGUAUAUACAAGAUUACAUAAUGCUAUCAGAGAUUUGGGGGAUGAAUUCAUCAUCAAUCCAUAGGAAAAGAGGCAAACAAAUGAAGUAAAAGUGAGGGGGGAAAAGUGGUCUGAGAAACACAAUCAUGGUACACUAUGGCUCAUGAUGAAUAUUUAGCUAGUAAAUAACAUGAACUUAGAUCGCUGACUUAACCAAAGGUUGAGAAACAACUGUGGUGUGGUGUGGGUGGAUAUUAUGAAAGAGCUAAAUUCUUAUCUACCAUAGGAGGAAAUCAACAGGUAAUAACACUAAUGGAAAAAUCAAGAAGUGGCGAUAUAAGCACAUUAUUUAAAUAUGGAGGCAAAUGCCAAUAAAUAAUGCAAAAAUACUUAAAGUGGCUGCCUUUGGGAAAUGAUAUCCAGGAGUAAGGUGGAAGACCGCCCCUUUUCAUGAUAAUCUCAGUGGAGCUAUUUGAAUUGUAAACAACUCAUAGGUGUUUAUGAAUAAUGAAAGAAUUUUAAAACCUAAGCAGACCACUAAAGACCUUUUUAUUAAAUUGUAUAUAUAUAUAUAUAUAUAUAUAUAUAUAUAUAUAUAUAUAUAUAUAUAUAAUUUUGAGACAGAGUCUCACUCCGUGGCCCAGGCUGGAGUGUGGUGGGGUGAUCUUGGCUCACUGCAACAUCCGCCUCCCAGGUUCAAGCAAUUCUCCUGCCUCAGCCUCCCAAGUAGCUGGGAUUAUAGGUGAGCGCCAUCACACCCAGCUAAUUUUUGUAUUUUUAGUACAGAUGGGGUUUUGCCAUGUUGGGCAGGCUGGUCUCGAACUCCUGAGCUCAGGUGAUCUUGGCCUCCCAAAGUGUUGGGAUUACAGGCGUAAGCCACUGCAUCCGGCCUAAAGACAUUUUUAAACAAAAGACUUGCUAGUCCUCUUAGCCAGACACAGAACAAGUGUGUUAAAUAAAUAAGACAUGAAACAUCUAAUGGUGACAAGAUUUUUUAACAGGCCAUGUUAACUGAAAUGAGGAGGACACAGAGGGGACAAUAGGGUCAGGAAACUUUUUUGAAGGUGUAGUGUUUAUAUGAUGGCACUUCUGCUGACAGCGUCCUCCUCAGAAGUUGCCUGCCCAGGGGCUCUUUAAAACAGACUAGGUGGAUUUCCAUGUCUGCCCCUGCUUGUUCUUUUUGCCUCGCCAGUUGUCUUGCUCCGAUUUCUUCCCAAGUGGGCUUUCAUGAUGUAUUCAUGAUGAGCCUUCAUGACGUACUCUACAAGACUAGCCUUUUAGCAAGAACUUUUAUAUCUCUGUUAAAUGUGACAAGCAGAGAAAAACUGUAUAGCCAUCACUUAGAUGAAAUAUAGCAAUGUGACCAAGCCUAUGUUACAAAAAUCAUGUAGGUUUUACUUAUUUUCCUUUCUCUUUGUCCUUAACUUCCUCCAGGCAGGACUGCUUGCAUGUAGUCAUUUUGGUAGAGGGUAGUCACUAAUAAGUGAUUAACUUCAUAUCCUAACCCCCAGGGGCGGCUUGCAAGAUUGAUGAACUUGUUUUUCUUGUAAAGAACAAUGAUCCCUGGGUCAUGCUGACCUCCUUGAUGGCACCCAGAAGUUUGAUUGGCCAAGGGAUGCAAGCAGCUUUGAUAAUCAGGGGAUCUCACUUCCCAUAUACCUACCUUACUCAUAAAAGCCACUGGUUACGUGCAAAGGGAGGCUGAAUUUGAGAAUUUGCCUCUCCCACCCUCAUGCUUUGGUCAAAUUGAAUAAACCUUUCUCUGCUCUGAAGCACCGAUGUGUCAGUGUUUGGCUUACUGCGCAUCAGGUACUUGAACCUAACUUUUGGGGUUCUGCAACAGAUUUUGGCAACCAUGCCAGGUCUAGCAUGGCAAUAGGCCCUGGCCAGGUUAGGCGAACGAGUGUCCCAGCAGCUGCCCAAGUGUGUUGGUCAGGGGGCCCUAAAGUCGCUCUUCUAGGUCAGUGUAGGCUGCUGUUGGUACUCUAGAAGCUUAGAGCAGAGAAACAUCUCAGACUGCUAUCUGGACUUCUGGUUUUGGUUUGAAGGUUUGCAGGUUUCAAAUACUCCUGCUGCAACCAGAAAACGAAGAGGUUCAGGACAUUCCAGAAGAAAUUCUCACACAGCUAUGACUAUAGGAACAGGAAUACUCCUUGGCUGUGGAUUAUACUGCUGUGGCACUAUAUAUGUGGGAUUGCAAGAUCGCCCUUCUCAAGCUCCUGACACCCUGUUCAACAAUGUUACAACAAAAUUGCCUAAGUCCCGGGACAUGUGAAUAUUUUCAACUGCAGAACAAUGAUCCUUAGGUCAUACUGACCUCCCUGAUGGCAUCCAGAAAUUUGACUGGCCAAGGGACACGAGCAGCUUUGAUCAUCAGGGAAAGCCCCCAAUUACAUGCAAAGGAAGGUCAUAUUUGAGAAUCUGCUUCUCCCACCCUCAUACUUUGGCCAAAUUGAAUAAACCUUUCUAAGCAUUAAUGUGUCAGUGUUUGGCUUACUGUGCACCGGGUACAUGAACCUAACUUUUGGGGUUCUACAACAGCAACCUGACUGAGCUAAUCACGUACAGCCAAGAACAGCUGAGCUACAGUAGCUCCUUAAAAUCAGGGUCCAGAUGUUGUUCAUAGAUGAGAGAAGAGAAAAUAACUAUCACAUGCAGCAUCAGACAUUCAAUGACACAAAUCCUCAAAAUCAGAUGCUUUAAAAAAUGAAGCCAAUGGCUGGGCAUGGUGGCUCAUGCCUGUAAUCCCAGCACUUUGGGAGGCCAAGGCAGGAGGAUCGCUUGAGCUCAGGAGUUCAAGACCAACCUGGGCAACAAAGUGAGACCUUAUCUCUAUCAAAAAUUUAAAAAUAAAUUAAUUAAAAUAAUUUAAAAAUGAAGCCAGGUUGCUCAAGUAUUCAUCAAGUAUUUACUGAGGCUUACUAUGUGUUAUGAUGAUGAGACACUUCUUUGAGCCAUCAAAGGUUUCUGGCUUCCUCUGCAACUAAAAAUAAUUACCCUCCCCAAUGAAGGGUCUGUGUGUUCCACAGGUAUAGCAGCAGAAGAGACAACUUGGAAAAAGUGAAGGUAGGCCAGGCACAGUGGCUCAUGGCUAUAAUCCUAACACUUUGGGAGGCUGAGGUGAGUGGAUUCGCUUGAGCUAAGGAGUUUGAGACCAGCCUGGGCAACAUGGCAAAACCUGGUCUCUAUUAAAAAAAAUACAAAAAAUUGGCCAGGCAUUGUAGUCCACACCUGUAGUCUCAGCUACUAGGGAGGCUGAGGUGGGAGGAUCACUUCAGCCAGGAGGCAGAGGCUGCAGUGAGCCUAGAUGGCACCACUGCACUCCAGCCUGGGUGACAGAGCAAGACCCUGUCUCAAAAAAAAAAAAAAAAAAAAAGGUAAGCCACAACUCCACUUAAGAGGAGAGGCAACUGGAGAAAGAUCCCAGGAGGUUAUAUUCAACAACGGAGCAAUAACACAGUAGUCUUGCUAGACAUCCACAGCCUUUAAAUGGACAUAUUCUACUCUGUUUAUCACCUUUAUAAAAGUUUUCAAGUUUUCUGGAUAGUUCUACUCAGUUGAUGGCAAUUACCCUGCCAGGUAACUUACUCACUAUAAUUGAAUAAACCAGCAAUCUGGUUUAUCAGUCAGUCUCUCUUGCUCAAUUGACAAUCCCUAAAAGUUCAUCCAUUCCUGUGUGAGACCGUAUAUCUGACAAUUCAGUCAAAGGAAGUUGGUCAAAUCCCACAACUGACUGCCAAAGAAAGUAAUAUCUAAUCACAAAAAUACCACAAUUAAUUACAGGUAGUAACUAGGUUCUAAAGAAAUUAUCUCCUAAGUAGAUUUUAAUAUAAAUUUUGAACAGUU